rnacentral:tRNA from 1 species
GGAGAGGUGGCAGAGUGGUCGAAUGCGCCGGAUUCGAAAUCCGGUUUACGGGUCUCCCGUAACGAGGGUUCGAAUCCCUCCCUCUCCGCCA